rnacentral:tRNA from 1 species
GCCGCGCUGGCGCCGGGCGCCGACCAGGCUCUCGUCCUGGUCAACAGCGCCACCUACGGCGGCUCGGGCGGCCGCGUGUCC